rnacentral:rRNA from 1 species
UACGAAGGAUGCAAGCGUUAUCCGGAAUUAUUGGGCGUAAAGCGUCUGUAGGUGGAUGUUCAAGUCUGCUGUCAAAGACCGGGGCUUAUCCCUGGAAAGGCGGUGGAAACUGAAAAUCUAGAGUGCGGUAGGGGCAGAGGGAAUUCCCAGUGUAGCGGUGAAAUGCGUAGAGAUUGGGAAGAACACCGGUGGCGAAAGCGCUCUGCUAGGCCAAAACUGACACUAAGGGACGAAAGCUAGGGGAGCGAAUGGG